UCAACCCUCGUCUUCCACUCUCCUCUGCCAUCCUCCGGAGUCCAGACUGAAGCAGCCGCGAAGGAGCCUCUCUCCCCCUUAUCCCCUCCUUCUCCCUCUCCCUUUCUCGUACCCGCUCUCUCUCCAUCGUCUCCCACGCAGUGAAACAGCAGUAGUAGUGCAGCACGCACCAUCGCCCUCCGUGAAGCACAGCGUAGCGCAGUCCAGCCGCCGUGUCUUCCGUCACACAGUUCUUCUAGCCUCGUCGCCUCCGUCGCAGCAUCUCCCUCUGUCGCAGCAUCUCUGUCGUCCUCUGUAAUGGAGCCUAAGCCUCAGGAAAGGAGAAGGUGAAAGAGGAAGAAUGUGGAAUUAGUGCACAACAUGAAAAUUUCAGUCUCUUGCCUUUUUUUUUUUUGCUUCUUGAUUUUUCUGAGUGAGAAACGGCGUUAAUAAUCUCCAGAUUAAUAGACACACGGGAAUGCAGAUGGAGCCUGAAGACCCAACAGCGGCGGUCCUCUUGUGUGAAGUGGUGGUGAUGGAGAUCCUCUCUUGGCUUCCUGCAAAGCCUCUGACGCGCCUGAAGCUUGUGUGCAAGUCAUGGAACUCCAUCAUCUCCAACCCUCACUUCGUCAAACUUCACCUUCACCGUUCACCCAAAAAUAGCAUCCUCCUCCUUACGCGAACAAAACCGCUCACCCUCGGCGAAGGAAAAAACUGGGACUUAGUGUUUAGUAGCGUUGAAUCCUUCAUCCAGAAUCCAUCAUCCACUCUUGUUGCUCAAGAGAAUCGCUACUCCCUAUACGUAGAAGACUGGGUUGUGGGUUCAUGCAACGGGUUGGUUUGUGUGGCCCAUGCUCUUGACCACCCCAAGACCGAUAUUAGUGAUAUCUGGGUGCGUUUAUUGAACCCUCUCACAGGGGGUAUUUCAGAGAACUCGCCGUGCUUACGUGUCAAUAUGCACAAUGUUCUUGGAUUUGGGUAUGAUGAGUCAAGUGAUAGUUACAAGGUACUGGCUAUCAUUUGGGAUUCUUCUGGAACAUUGAUUACGCAAGUUUAUAGCUUUGGUGGCAGUUCAUGGAAGAGGAUCAAAAGUUUUCCUGCUUUUCCGUUUUCUCCUGAAGUUAAUGGCUACUUCAUCGGUGGCACUCUUAAUUGGAUAGCUCUCCGUACCCCGCAUGAAGGUGAUUAUGAUUGGGAUGCUGUUACACUUGAUAUGUUAACGCUUGUUUCUUUUGACCUGAAAUCGGAUACAAGUAAAGAGAUUCCGCUUCCAAAGGGUAUCGAUGAGAUCCCCAGUGAAGAGCCAACUCUGGGAGUUUGGGGAAAUAGCCUGUAUCUUCUUCAUGAUUACCAGAACACUCAUUUUAUUGCAUGGCAAAUGAAGGAGUUUGGAGAUGAAAAUUCUUGGACUCAAUUGCUAAAGAUUAGUUUUCACCAUCUCGGUGUUGAAUGGCUAUCUCCACGAUUUGUAUUUGAGAAUGGAAAUGUCUUCAUGUUGAGCGGCUGCCAUAGUUCUGAGGAAGUUUUUUAUGACCGAAGAGAUAAUAGUGUUAAACGCGUUAAAUUCUCGUCCAACCCUCGUUACAUCGUUGCAUUUGAUUAUGUUGAGAGCCUGGUUCAGCUUUGUUAAAAUUUGGUUCCUAUUCAAAGUUUUGCUUCUUUAGCAUUUUGUUCUGUCAGCAAAGUUCAGGUCAUUGUGAUUAUUUUGGGUGAUUCCUUACUUUGGCUACUUCUUGUUGUUGGAUCCAAAUUUGUAGACGGAUCACUUUUAUUUUGGCUGCAAACUUUAUACAUACAGGGUCUGGAAAAUGUGACACCAAUGAUUACAAAGAUAGACCAGAAGAGUGCAAUAGAGCUUGAAUCAUAUGGCUUGGGUACAAGAAUGGUAAUUCCUACUAGUAGUAGUUAUAGUGAUUAGAUCUUAGCAUGUUGCAACCGUAAUGUUGAGAACUUUAGAUGAUACAAUAUUUGUAGCAUGUUAUUGCAAGCAUAGGAAUGUAAGCAGUGAAGAUUAAGAACCAAAAUUUUAUAGAACUAGAAGCAGUUAUUAGGUGAUAUAUAUGUGUGGUAAUUCCUUUGCCAAUGUUAUUAGUUCCUUUAAAAUAUUUACUUGUUUUCAUGAUUUCCAUGGGUGCUAUCACAUCUUAUGGUCAACUAGACAUUUUAUGACAAUAUCUUGUUAUAUUGA